ensembl:rRNA 5S_rRNA 5S ribosomal RNA
GUCUACGGCCAUACCAUCCUGAACACGCUGGAUCUCAUCUGAUCUCGGAAGCUAAGCAGGGUCGGGCCUGGUUAGUACUUGGAUGGGAGACCGCCACCGGGUGCUGUAGGCU